rnacentral:rRNA from 1 species
GACGAACGCUGGCGGCAUGCCUAAUACAUGCAAGUCGAGCGGACAGAAGGGAGCUUGCUCCUGGAAGUCAGCGGCGGACGGGUGAGUAACACGUGGGCAACCUGCCCUUUAGAUUGGGAGAACUUCGGGAAACCGAAGCAAAUACCGAAUAAUACAAGGAACCUCAUGGUUCUCUGUUGAAAGAUGGCCUUUGUGCUAUCACUAAAGGACGGGCCCGCGGCGCAUUAGCGAGUGGGUAAGGUAACGGCGUACCAAGGCGACGAUGCGUAGCCGCCCGGAGAGGGUGAUCGGCCACCCUGGGACUGAGACACGGCCCAGACUCCUACGGGAGGCAGCAGUAGGGAAUCUUCCGCAAUGGACGAAAGUCUGACGGAGCAAUGCCGCGUGAGUGAGGAAGGCCUUCGGGUCGUAAAGCUCUGUUGUGGGGGAAGAAUAGUACCGGCGUAACUACCGGUACCGUGACGGUACCUCACCAGAAAGCCACGGCUAACUACGUGCCAGCAGCCGCCGUAA